rnacentral:rRNA from 1 species
CAGCAGCCGCGGGAAUACGAAGGGUGCAAGCGUUAAUCGGAAUUACUGGGCGUAAAGCGUGCGUAGGCGGUUUGUUAAGUCUGUUGUGAAAUCCCCGGGCUCAACCUGGGAAUGGCAAUGGAUACUGGCAAGCUAGAGUGUGUCAGAGGAUGGUGGUAUUCCCGGUGUAGCGGUGAAAUGCGUAGAGAUCGGGAGGAACAUCAGUGGCGAAGGCGGCCAUCUGGGACAACACUGACGCUGAGGCACGAAAGCGUGGGGAGCAAACAGGAUUAGACACCCGUAGUCCCUGUCUCUUAUACAC